rnacentral:lncRNA from 1 species
UGAUGUUGGUGUCGAUGCAAGCCAAGGGCCAAGAAGGGUUUCUCAUGAUGAUGAAAUGUUGAAGAAUUGAAGCAAAAUCCAGCCUUGAUUCUCUUGCAUGUGUAGAGAUUCUACAUCAAAAAGCUAUAUGAAACAUGUGGAACGUGUCAAGGAGAGCUCAAGCAUAGGAGGAUAACGGGUCAAGAUAAGGCAAGGUGACAAAUACACUUAUUGGAGUACUCAAGGUAAGUGAUUUCUAUAAUCACUUCUUUAGUUGUUUAAGUAAUAUAAUGUUUUAAUUAUUAAGUUCAUAUGAAGUUGAGGUCAAAUCAAUAGAUUAUUUUGAUAAAUGCACGAAUGGGUCGAAUAAUUCAUAGAUGAAUAACAAGCCGAAUACGUAUAAGUUAAGAAAUUCCUUAACUCGGAUGUUGGACUUCAAGAUCACAUGAUAGAAUAUUAAAUUACAAUCAUAUAGGAAGAAACGUGACGCAAAACGGAUGAAAAAUGAGAGAGUUAUGUCCGUUUCGGUAAGGAUUAAUGGCUAGGAAAAGUGCAGAGUUGACACGGCCGGGUGGUGAACUGACACGGCCAGGUGAAGGUUCUGUCAAAAAUAUUAUUUAUGUGAUUUAUGCGCCGUAGGCUUCGGUAUAUUAUCCGUGAACUACGACGGGCCUCCCAAACAUGAUUUCAAGUGUUUCCUUGAUGAUUAUAAGUUGUAAACCCAAGUCUAAGCCUCAUGUAAUUUAUAUAAGAGUGUGAUAGAUGUAUGUAAUGAAGUUGGACAUGUAUUACAUGUAAAUGUAUACAAAAAUACGUACGGAACACGUAGAUAUGAAUACAUGAUGGUAGGUAUGAUUAAAUGUAUAUUAGGUAUGUAGAUGUGUAUGAUUGUAAGUUUGUAUGUGUGCAAGUAUGUGCGAAUGCAUGAUUUGGAUGCAUUUGAGAAUUAGCGUUACUAAUAAUGCCCUUGGGUUUGGAAUAUAAGUUAAUUGGAUGCAUUUAAAUGGUUGACGUCCUUUUUAUGAAGAUGUAGUAAAUGAAUAUGUUGAGAUUACGGGUUUGGCUAACCAAGUUAUUAUUGAGUAUGUUUGAAAGUGCAGGUUAUGAAUGUCGGACUUUCGAAGUGUUGAUAUAAUAAUGAAACGGUUGAAUGUUGAAAGGAUAACCGGAUUGAAGUAACUUAUGCGGUUAGAAUAUGCUAUGGACGUUUUAGUUUAUACAACAUUUUAUGUUUGGUCGUCAUCAUCUACCAACGGGUUAGUUGUUUGAAAAUAUAUGUC